CGUGCCCAGUCGUGGGGGAUAACUUCGAAAGAGUAGCUAAUACCGCAUACGAUCUGAGGAUGAAAGCGGGGGACCUUCGGGCCGCGCGAUUGGAGCGGCCGAUGGCAGAUUAGGUAGUUGGUGGGAUAAAAGCUUACCAACGACGAUCUGUAGCUGGUCUGAGAGGACGACCAGCCACACUGGGACUGAGACACGGCCGACUCCUACGGGAGGCAGCAGUGGGGAAUUUUGGACAAUGGGCGAAAGCCUGAUCCAGAUGCCGCGUGCAGGAUGAAGGCCUUCGGGUUGUAAACUGCUUUUGUACGGAACGAAAACUUCUCCUAAUACGAGAGGCCCAUGACGGUACCGUAAGAAUAAGCACCGGCUAACUACGCCAGCAGCCGCGGUAAUACGUAGGGUGCGAGCGUUAAUCGGAAUUACUGGGCGUAAAGUGCGCAGGCGGUUAUGUAAGACAGAUGUGAAAUCCCCGGGCUCAACCUGGGAACUGCUUGUGACUGCAUGGCUAGAGUACGGUAGAGGGGGAUGGAAUUCCGCGUGUAGCAGUGAUGCGUAGAUAUGCGGAGGAACACCGAUGGCGAAGGCAAUCCCCUGGACCUGUACUGACUCAUGCACGAAAGCGUGGGGAGCAAACAGGAUUAGAUACCCUGGUAGUCCACGCCCUA
rnacentral:rRNA from 1 species